rnacentral:rRNA from 1 species
CCUACGGGAGGCAGCAGUGGGGAAUAUUGGACAAUGGGGGCAACCCUGAUCCAGCCAUGCCGCGUGUGUGAAGAAGGCCCUCGGGUUGUAAAGCACUUUCAGUGAGGAAGAACGCCUGGUGGUUAAUACCCAUCAGGAAAGACAUCACUCACAGAAGAAGCACCGGCUAACUCCGUGUCGGCAGCCGCGGUAAUACGGAGGGUGCGAGCGUUAAUCGGAAUUACUGGGCGUAAAGCGCGCGUAGGUGGCUUGAUAAGCCGGUUGUGAAAGCCCCGGGCUCAACCUGGGAACGGCAUCCGGAACUGUCAAGCUAGAGUGCAGGAGAGGAAGGUAGAAUUCCCGGUGUAGCGGUGAAAUGCGUAGAGAUCGGGAGGAAUACCAGUGGCGAAGGCGGCCUUCUGGACUGACACUGACACUGAGGUGCGAAAGCGUGGGUAGCAAACAGGAUUAGAUACCCUUGUAGUC